rnacentral:tRNA from 1 species
AGGGAUGUAGCGCAGCUUGGUAGCGCCUUUUCUUUUGCUUUUGGGUACAAAAAAAAAUUUCACGGGUUCAAAUCCUGUCAUCCCUACC